AUUGAACGCUGGCGGAAUGCUUUACACAUGCAAGUCGAACGGCAGCACGGACUUCGGUCUGGUGGCGAGUGGCGAACGGGUGAGUAAUGUAUCGGAACGUGCCCAGUCGUGGGGGAUAACGUGGUGAAAAUUAGGCUAAUACCGCAUACGAUCUUGGGAUGAAAGCGGGGGAUCGAAAGACCUCGCGCGAUGGGAGCGGCGAUAUCAGAUUAGGGUAGUUGGUGGGGUAAAGGCCCACCAAGCCAACGAUCUGUAGCUGGUCUGAGAGGACGACCAGCCACACUGGAACUGAGACACGGUCCAGACUCCUACGGGAGGCAGCAGUGGGGAAUUUUGGACAAUGGGCGAAAGCCUGAUCCAGCCAUUCCGCGUGCAGGAUGAAGGCCCUCGGGUUGUAAACUGCUUUUGUACAGAACGAAAAGGUUUCUACUAAUACUAGGAGCUCAUGACGGUACUGUAAGAAUAAGCACCGGCUAACUACGUGCCAGCCGCCGCGGUAA
rnacentral:rRNA from 1 species